UACGUAGGGACCAAGCGUUGUUCGGAUUUACUGGGCGUAAAGGGCGCGUAGGCGGCGCGGUAAGUCACUUGUGAAAUCUCUGAGCUUAACUCAGAACGGCCAAGUGAUACUGCAGUGCUAGAGUGUGGAAGGGGCAAUCGGAAUUCUUGGUGUAGCGGUGAAAUGCGUAGAUAUCAAGAGGAACACCUGAGGUGAAGACGGGUUGCUGGGCCAACACGUGACGCUGAGGCGCGAAAGCCAGGGAGCAAACGGG
rnacentral:rRNA from 1 species